UCUCAUUCCUUGACCUGCCUUUCUCACAUACAUUUUAGUGCCAUCAUGAAGUAAUCGAGUGCCAAGAUGUACGAUUUAAAUUUGCAGUCUGCCAUCGCUCCUUGUGGUCUCAGACGUGGCUCUCAGUCUCCAGCACUCCUCUACACCUAAAAAAGCGGCGUAUGAUAGCUAUCCUCUAAAGGAACAAGUGACGUAGUCAUGACAGCGCAGCUCUACUGAGCUGCGAGCUUUCAAAAAAAAGCUGUAUAAAUAAUUUUAUACGUCUUGGUUGCGAUGAACAAAAAAAAGAGUGCGACUCACGUCUGCGCGAAAUGAUGUUGUACCGGAUAUGGGGUUCAUUGUCAAGGCACGAAGGCGCGGCUAGAUCGAGUUAAGCAAGGCACUCAAGCCAAGGCUAGACACGCGCAGGCGUCGUUCUGAGGUGACACACAAACAGCGGGCAGAUGCGAAAUUCGAUAAGAGGAGCCCACAAAAUACUUUUCUGUUUCAUGGAUGUGUUUAUUAUUCCAAAAAAUCCCUCUUGCAUACUUAACGCGCGGUCCCCUUUUUGUUUUUUGUAGUCGCCCUACCUAAACCAGACAGUAGUGAUGGCGAAAAAAGG